ACGUACCGACGUCUUCCUCUGACGUUAAAGUUAACGCAGAGGUAACAAACGUACCGACGUCUUCCUCUGCCGUUAAAGUUAACGCAGAGAUAACAAACGUACCGACGUUUUCCUCUGACGUUAACGUUAACGCAGAGAUAACGUACGUACCGACGUCUUCCUCUGACGUUAACGUUAACGCAGAGAUAACGUAUGUACCGACGUCUUCCUCUGACGUUAAAGUUAACGCAGAGUUAACGUACGUACCGACGUCUUCUUCUGACGUUAAAGUUAACGCAGAGAUAACGUACGUACCGACGUCUUCUUCUGACGUUAAAGUUAACGCAGAGAUAGCAGUUAGCUUCAGUUAGCUGUUAGCUUCUGUUAGCUGUUAGCUUCAGUUAG